UUCAGGUGUCUCAAGCUCAAUUUACCUGAGGACCGUUGUUGGUAAUGUUGGGGUAAUGCUGUGUCGCAUAAAGUAUUCACUUCACAAUUACACAUGUGACAAAAUGUGUCAAUGACUUCUGUCAGUGCAUGUGUGCGUGCGUGACUCUGAGGCAGAGUUUAACAGAACAUACAUAUUUUCAAAAUGCCUAUUUAUUAAAAAUUACUAAUUGUAAUGAAUUUAAAAAAAAUACUUCGUCCUGAGGAAUUUGUUCGGUGUUCAGGCUUGUCACUCAGCGCUGUCUUGUAUGCACGUACAGGCAGGGAGCGCGUGCACACACACAAAAGCAGUCCAAGAGAAGCAACUAACAAUUUGCAGUCAUGUUGUUGUUAUGAUAGAAUACACAAACAAUGAUAGCUUGGCUCUCUAAAUCGUUGUCAUUAGCCAACAUCACACCAAGUUAAUGCAUGUUACGUACAGUCCUGGUCAAAAGUUUACAUACACUUGUAAAGAACAUAAUGUCAUGGCUGUCUUGAGUUUCCAGUAAUUUCUACAACUCUUAUUUUUUUGUGAUCGAGUGAUUGGAGCACAUACUUGUUGGUCCCAAAAAUAACAUUCAUGAAGUUUGGUUCUUUUAUGAAUUUAUUAUGGGUCUACUGAAAAUGUGACCAAAUCUGCUGGGUCAAAAGUAUAAAUACAGCAAUGUUAAUAUUUGGUUACAUGUCCCUUGGCAAGUUUCACUGCAAUAAGGCGCUUUUGGUAGCCAUCCACAAGCUUCUGCUUGAAUUUUUGACCACUCCUCUUGACAAAACUGGUGCAGUUCAGCUAAAUGUGUUGGUUUUCUAACAUGGACUUGUUUCUUCAGCAUUGUCCACAUGUUUAAGUCAGGACUUUGGAAGGCCAUUCUAAAACCUUAAUUCUAGCCUGAUUUAGCCAUUCCUUUACCACUCUUGAGGUGUGUUUGGGGUCAUUGUCCUGUUGGAACACCCAACUGCGCCCAAGACCCAACCUCCGGGCUGAUGUUUUUAGGUUGUCCUGAAGAAUUUGGAGGUAAUCCUCAAUCAAUCAAUCAAUCAAUCAAUCAAUCAAUCAAUGUUUACUUAUAUAGCCCUAAAUCACGAGUGUCUCAAAGGGCUGCACACGCCACAACGACAUCCUCGGCUCAGAUCCCACAUCAGGGCAAGGAAAAACAAUGAGAAACCUUGGAGGGGACCGCAGAUGUGGGGACCGGUGCAAUGGACGUUGAGUGGAUCUAGCAUAAUAUUCACCAGUUCCAUUGGCAGCAAAACAGGCCCAAGGCCCAGAGCAUAAUACUACCACCACCAUGCUUGACGGUCGGCAUAGUGUUCCUGGGAUUGAAGGCCUCACCUUUGCUCCUCCAAACAUAUUGCUGGGUAUUGUGGCCAAACAGCAACAUUUUUGUUUCAUCUGACAUCACAUGGACAAAGAUAAGACCUUCUGGAGGAAAGUUCUGUGGUCAGAUACAAUCCUGUCAAUACGUCCUGAAAACCUGAGUUCCCUCCGACGUGGCCGACUUCCAGAUCGGUCGUAACAUCACGUGAAAAUGCAGGCGGCCAUGUUUGAGGGAUGGCGGUCCUCGCAUCACAUGCCAAUACAGCCCUGUAUCUGCCCCCCUCGCACCCCCUCCACCAGUGUCCGCGAGCUUGUUUACGGAGCGGAAGAAGUCUGUUUCCUGCCUGUAACAAAACCCAGACACCCCGUCAGAGUGUCAAGGAGCUACUCGGUACCCGCCAAUACAUCAUCUUCCUCGGGAGAAUCGUAGCGAGAUAAGCCGCCCUGACUUAGGACUCCGGCCCACAAAGAGGUCAUCAUGGCUGCCACUGCUAUGAACAAGAUAGCCUCCAUAUUUAUUUAGCACUGACACUUUCAGGAGUGAAUUUCAAUAAUCCCCUCAAUUCACUUUAGGAGUUUGGUGGCUUGCCAGGCGUUGCUGAACAGGUUUCGACGAGUUCCCUCCUCAUCUUCGUAUGUUGGACGGACAAACCUGUUGAAGCAGUGUUUCAGUGCGCAGUGGCAGGUGUACACUCAGGUUAGUAGUUGCAGAGCUGUCUCCAACAUGACUCUAAAGACCGUAAGUAAUCAUGUUUGGUCUGCAUGGGCACUUCUUCUUGUGUAAAAUCAAUGUCUUCUCACACAGCCUAAAUAAGCAAUCACCACCGCACUGUGUUAUUAUUAAGUGUUUACAGGUGUAAUGUCAAUCACCUGCUUAGAGAUGAUACAUUCUUACAGGGGUUAGAUAAGUAAGCAUUUUUCCACUUCAUUAAUUUUGCGGGUAGUUCAAUGUAAACAUUUCCGAAUUUUUCUCCAGCAUGUUGCAAAAUUUAGGAAAACAGUGCUUUUAGGAGCCUCUGAGGUCCAACAAAAUCAGGUUGACAUUUUCACAUAUUAUGUCAAUCUGUUCCAGGGUACAUUUUGGGGCGUGAAGUGUUUGGGUACCUAACAAUUUGAUCCAAUUCGGAUUCCUGGGGUGACACUUUGAUUCUUAAUUGAUUCUUGAUUCAAGAACAAUAAUUUUGAUGAAACUUUUUAAAUUGUACAGGUUAGAAAAGCUCAUUCUUGUUGCAUGGA